rnacentral:rRNA from 1 species
UGCAAGUAUCAGCACACCCGUGAGAAAGCCCUUUACCCUUAAUAGGAUAAGGAGCUGGUAUCAGGCACAGUUUCCUAGCCCACGACACCUAGCUUUGCCACGCCCUCAAGGGUAUUCAGCAGUGAUUAACAUUGUCUAUAAGCGCCAGCUUGAUUCAGUUAGAGGAGCUAGAGCCGGCUAAUACGGUGCCAGCCGCCGCGGCUACACCACUAGGCUCAAGUUGAUUUUAUUCGGCGUUAAGCGUGUUUAAAGUGCCAGCAAGAUUAGAAUUGAACUUAAACCAAGUCGUGAUACACUUGUUUUUAAGAAAAACAAAAACGAAAGUUAUUCUAACCAAACCACUUGAACCCACGACAGCUAGGACACAAACUGGGAUUAGGUACCCCACUAUGCCUAGCCGUAAAAUAUUUACUUACACCUAAACCGCCAGGGAAUUACGAGCCCAAGCUUAAAACCCAAAGGACUUGACGGUGUCCCACCCACCUAGAGGAGCCUGU